UACGUAGGGGGCUAGCGUUGUCCGGAAUCAUUGGGCGUAAAGAGCGUGUAGGCGGCCCGGCAAGUCCGCUGUGAAAGUCGGGGGCUCCACCCUCGAAUGCCGGUGGAUACUGUCGGGCUAGAGUGCGGAAGAGGCGAGUGGAAUUCCAGGUGGAGCGGUGAAAUGCGCAGAUAUCAGGAGGAACACCGAUUGCGAAUGCAGCUCGCUGGGACGUAACUGACGCUGAGACGCGAAAGCGUGGGGAGCAAACAGG
rnacentral:rRNA from 1 species